UACAGAGGGUGCAAGCGUUGUCCGGAUUUAUUGGGCGUAAAGAGCGUGUAGGCGGCCAAACAGGUCAGCUGUGAAAACUCGAGGCUCAACCUCGAGACGUCGGUUGAAACCGUAUGGCUAGAGUCCGGAAGAGGAGAGUGGAAUUCCCGGUGUAGCGGUGAAAUGCGCAGAUAUCGGGAAGAACACCCGUGGCGAAGGCGGCUCUCUGGGACGGUACUGACGCUGAGACGCGAAAGCGUGGGGAGCAAACAGG
rnacentral:rRNA from 1 species